ACCCGCUGAACUUAAGCAUAUCAAUAAGCGGAGGAAAAGAAACUAACAAGGAUUCCCCUAGUAACUGCGAGUGAAGCGGGAAGAGCUCAAAUUUAAAAUCUGGCGGUCCCCGUGGCCGUCCGAGUUGUAACCUAGAGAAGUGCUAUCCGCGCUGGACCGUGUACAAGUCUCCUGGAACGGAGCGUCACAGAGGGUGAGAAUCCCGUCUUUGACACGGACUACCAGGGCUUUUGUGAUGCGCUCUCGAAGAGUCGAGUUGUUUGGGAAUGCAGCUCAAAAUGGGUGGUAAAUUCCAUCUAAAGCUAAAUAUUGGCGAGAGACCGAUAGCGAACAAGUACCGUGAGGGAAAGAUGAAAAGAACUUUGGAAAGAGAGUUAAACAGUACGUGAAAUUGUUGAAAGGGAAACGCUUGAAGUCAGUCGCGUCGGCCAGGGAUCAACCUUGCAUUUAUUUGCUGGGAGUACUUCCUGGUCGACGGGUCAGCAUCAAUUUUGAUCGUCGGAUAAAGGCUUAGGGAAUGUGGCAUCUUCGGAUGUGUUAUAGCCCUUGGUCGCAUGCGACGGUCGGGAUUGAGGAACUCAGCACGCCGCAAGGCCGGGGUAUUCGUACCCACGUUCGUGCUUAGGAUGCUGGCAUAAUGGCUUUAAUCGACCCGUCUUGAAACACGG
rnacentral:rRNA from 1 species